ACUGUCCGAGGCCAUAAGAAGAUCAUCUGUAACCUUCACUAAUGCUGUUUCUGUACUAUGAUGAAUUCCUCUCACUGUGAGCAUUAGCAGGUGCAUUUCUGGAAAACAUCUAACUCAACAAUCCUCUGCAUUCUUCAGUGUUAAACCCACACAAGUCGUUGUAGACAAGGCCCCUGGUCCAUCUCGAUCUGUUGAAGUCAGCAUGUGUCUGUCGUCAUGGAGAACAGCUGGCUAGCUGUGAUUGGUGGAUUUAUCAGAGCUCAUCCUUUGAUCUGCUCAGCAUCAGGCUGCGGGUCGCAUGUUCCUUCAGAAACU